CAUAAGAAUCCAAAUGGCUAAGGAUCAAGUGUAUAUACAGUCGAACUACAGCAAUCCUAUUUGAAUAGCCAAGUUAACAUAGGUCAAAGAACCAAUCACACCAUUAUAGCAUCGAAAAAGUCACUGAUGAGUGAGUAAACAUUCAAGAAACUUCUCAUGUUGAUCAUGCUAGGUAUCCUUGUUCUCUAACAACCAUCUGCACUCUCGCUCUAAUAUUCUCACACUA
rnacentral:lncRNA from 1 species